UAUUUUUCUCUCCAAAGACAGGUUUCAGCACUGGGUCAGUGAAACCACCUGGUCUCCUGUCUAAGUCACUCUUCUGCUGCUUUGAGGAGAUGCUAUGUCCGAGGCAUCUUAUAGAAGAAAAUGUUUAAUUUGAGCUUGCUUACAGCUUCAAAAAGUCGGUGACCUUCAUGGUGGGAAGCAUGGUCGCAGACAGGCAAGUAUGGUGCUGGAGUAGAUUCAUCUGAUUUGAAACUUGGAGGCAGAGAGAGAAAAGGAGGAGACUGCGCCUGGUGUGAGCCUUUGAAACCUCAAAGCCCAACCCCGAGUGACACAGCUCCUCCAAGCAGGGCACACCUCCUAAUCUUUCCUAAACAGCUCCACCCACAGAGAAUCAAACAUUCAAAUAUGGGAGUCUACGGGGGCCACUCACAUUCAGACUACCACAUCUAUCUGUGAUUUUGGUGUAACUGGGUAUAAUGACCUACACCUGCAAUCCUAGCACUCAGGGGUAUAGAAAUUUAAGGUCAUCCUUGGCUUUAUACUGAGUUUGAGGUC
rnacentral:lncRNA from 1 species